rnacentral:lncRNA from 1 species
GACUUCAAGUCUUCAAAGACAAAUAAUAAUGCAGGCAGUCCAUGUAUGCAUAUUCUUCGUCUUCGUCUUUGGUUAAACUUGUAUCUUGUAAUAUACAAAUUAUUCUCUCUGUUCAAGUGUCACUCACCUCCUAGAGGCUUCAUCUCACUCUCCUCUCCAUCCAAGACUUGCUCCCAUCUCUUUCAAGGUAAUAUGCGAGUGUGUUUUUUUUGGGGUAUUUCUUUGUAUUAUUUUUGGGGCAGGCUUUAAGACAAACGUUAUUUUGUCUUGAGAAUUUUGGCAAUACUUGCUAUUGCAAUUAUGUUUUUCAGGUAUCUCUUCGUUUUUUUAAUUUGUUACUUUCAUUUUCUGAUUUAGUUGAGUGGAAUUGUGAAAAGGUGUUUGGUUUUAAUCUUGUUUGUUUGUGGGUAUUUGUUUGUGUUGUUUAAUCCUUGUGUUUUGUUUGGUUUUUGAUGUUUUUGGCGAUUUUUCGUGUUACAAAUGAGACGCUUCGUUGUUUCGCUUCGCAUACGACGAGGCAAUUUGAUCGAUAGCAUAGCGGUGGUGGCCGAUGGUGGCGGUGACGGUGGUUUCGGGACGGGAUCUGGUUUCAGAAAGGAAAGCGCUAAUUGUGCCUUAAUUGAGGGCAUAAAUUGUGCUUCCUAAUUGAGGGCGUAAAUUGUGCCUCUUGGGCGUAAAUUGUGCCUUAUUUGAGGGCCUUAAUUUUGUCUUAAUUAAGGACAUUAAUAUUUUAUUAUUAUGCCUUAAUUAAGAACUUAAUUGUCUCAAUCAUGAGUUAUCAUGAUUGUGGGAAUAUUUUGAUAUAAUCUGUUAAAUCGACUUAUAUUCUUCUUGUUUCUCUUGUUUUAUUUUCAGGAUUCUUGGAAAAAGACCGGUUUUUCUUUUCAGACAUUAAAGUUUUAUUGUCUAAAUUUCCCCGGUCAUCUUGCAUGUCCGACGGUUAGAUAAUAAGCUUUCUUGAAUGAAAGAAUUAUCACGGUGAAUUGCCGAUUCUCGUUGAGAUUUAUUCUCAUAUUCAAAAAAAAAAAAAAAACUUGUAUCUUGUAAUCUCCUAGAGCAGGUCCAGAGCAAGUCCAUUAGGUUACCAAUCUCGUUACUUAUUAAUAAUAUAAAAUAAUGAAUCUUUAGUGAUUUUUAGUGAUUUAGAGUAAGUCCAAUAGGUAACCUUUCUCAUUACUUAUUAAUAAUAUAAAAUAAUGAAUUUCAGUGAGUUUUAGUGAUUUAAGUAAUUUAUAUUUAGUGUCAAUUCUAAUAGCAAUCCCUAUAUUGUUCUCCAAAAAUUAUUUUAAUAAUAAAUUUGGGAGAGAGAAGGGAAAGGGGGAAAAGACAAAGAAAGGAAGAGAGAGAUGAUUAUUUUAUUGAUAAAUAUUAAAUAAGUAAUGACUUACUUAUGAAUAGGAAAGACCAGGAGAUUUGAGGUUGUGCUAGUGAUUUAAGUAACCACUGGGAGAGUGUUGAAGUGCUUUUUUUUUAAUACAUUACCUAAAUGUGAGUUUAUGAGCAAAUUUAGGUAACCUAUUGGACUUGCUCUUAUAAAAGCUUUCUGUGUGUGAAAUACAGGUUUAAUUUAAAUUUUCCAAUCAAAUAAAAUUAUCAAAUAAAAUUCUAGUAAAUUAAUAACGCUAUUGAUUCAUAUUUAAGGAUAAUUUGAUACUUAGUUGUAUGUUACCGUAUUUGUAUGAGUAUUUUAACAUAUAAGUUUUGAU